CCUACGGGUGGCAGCAGUGGGGAAUAUUGCGCAAUGGGCGAAAGCCUGACGCAGCGACGCCGCGUGAGGGAUGAAGGUCUUCGGAUCGUAAACCUCUGUCAGCAGGGAAGAACGGUCACUGUGCUAAUCAGCAGUGAAUUGACGGUACCUGCAAAGGAAGCACCGGCUAACUCCGUGCCAGCAGCCGCGGUAAUACGGAGGGUGCGAGCGUUAAUCGGAAUUACUGGGCGUAAAGCGCUCGUAGGCGGUAUGUCAAGUCAAGGGUGAAAUCCCCGCGCUCAACGUGGGAACUGCCUUUGAAACUGGCAAACUGGGGUGUGUGAGAGGAUAGUGGAAUUGCAGGGGUAGGAGUGAAAUCCGUAGAUAUCUGGAGGAACAUCAGUGGCGAAGGCGACUAUCUGGCACAUAACUGACGCUGGGGAGCGAAGGCGUGGGUAGCAAACAGGAUUAGAUACCCCAGUAGU
rnacentral:rRNA from 1 species